AUUGAACGCUGGCGGCAGGCCUAACACAUGCAAGUCGAACGAGUGGCGGACGGGUGAGUAAUGUCUGGGAAACUGCCUGAUGGAGGGGGAUAAAUACUGGAAACGGUCGAUAAUACCGCAUCCCAUCGGAUGUGCCCAGAUGGGAUUAGCUAGUAGGUGGGGUAACGGCUCACCUAGGCGAAGAUCCCUAGCUGGUCUGAGAGGAUGACCAGCCAGACUGGAACGGAGCAACGGUCCAGACUCCGAGGGGAGGCAGCAGUGGGGAAUAUUGCACAAUGGGCGCAGGCCUGAGGCAGCCAUGCCGGGUGGAGGAAGAAGGCCUUCGGGUUGUAAAGUACUUUCAGCGGGGAGGCGUUACCCGCAGAAGAAGCACCGGCUAACUCCGUGCCAGCAGCCGCGGUAAUAC
rnacentral:rRNA from 1 species